UACUGAAGCUGUCAGCUGUAAACACCUAUUGUUAGCAUGGGACGCUUUAAAGCUGCUGCUGCUGACUAAGAUGAGACUGACUUGAAUAGAUCAAGUGAUUCUGGCCUGGUUCACAAUAACAUGGAUAUUUUCCCAAACUUUCUGCGGUGUUUGCAUCUUUUCUCCACAUGAAACUGGACUUUAAGGGCCAUGAAAAGCAAGGUCACGUCAGGCCACGAGUGCAGCUGAGCCCUGCUCUGGAUUACCUUCAAGGUUCUGACCACAAGCCCUCGUCCAGGAUAACCCACCGUGGUUCCGCCUCCUUACAAGUUGGUGAAUACUUCAAUUAAUUUACCACAGCCCACGGAUCUCCCUGGAUCCACUGGACCCAAUCAUAGAUUCAUUCCUUGUUCUACGUGCUCUGCCUGUCCAUCCUCCAACACCAACUAGAGAAACCUGCUCACACCAACUGGAGAAACCUGCUCACACCACAUGCCGACCUGCCAACCUCAGCUUCCAUGGUUUGCUCACUCAUCCCCAGC